ACUGCACAGUGAGGCAGAGGGCGCAGGAAGCGUAAAUUCCCACUCCUUGUUGUGGGUCUGACUGCCCUUUCCCUGCAUGCUUCUAUGGGAGCUAAGGCUGCUGGAGGGCCGUGACGAGGGAAGACCGAAUACCCCACAGACACACCAGCCUAGAGACAGGAGAGCUGUGAGAACUCAAACCCACCGUCCAUUUCCCCACUGCGCUGCUGCUGUGCCUGUGCUCAACCCUGCCUGAUCCAUCCAGGCCACAGAGGUGGCUGAACUUCUUCCCAUUCCUCCUCUCACCCCUGCCUGUCCAUGCCCUCCGAGAAGGAGUUGCUCCAACUACUUGAAAACCUCCCAUCAGAAAAACAAAAACAACAACAAACCUGAAAAUAAUUAUUCCUUCAAAUCAACCAACCAAACGGGCAACCGUUCAUUCUUUGGAUGUGGAGAAGAGAACAAGCUGUGGAGGGACCUGGUCGGCCUUUUGAAGCCAGCAUGCAGUUAGUGUGGAUUAAAGGCAGUGCCAACCCAUCCUUCCCAGAUGUGCGACGUGUGUGUGCCUGUAUUUUUCCACUGUCAACUUGACCGUAAAUGCCUGCAUAAUGGGGAUACAUUAUAGUACCAGCUGCAGUUUUAUUUAGAAGGGAGUAAUGAAUAUUUUGUUCCAACAGGCUGUUGAAAUGAACGGGACCAUCUGGUUAAAAGUUUUGCUCUCAGUCGUGUCACGACUCCCCAAAGUUAUAAUCAGGCACCUCUCUGCCCUGGUCAUGCCAAGCGGGUUUAUUUCUGGGUCUGGCUAUUGACCAGGCUCCCAGCUUUCAGAGGCCGUCAGCAUCCCGCUCUCGUUAUUAGCAGUGCCUUGGAAGCAGUCUCGCCUUUGCCUGGAAUCGUAAAACUUCUCGCUGUUGCUAACAAAGCUGAAACAGAUCCUAAUGAGGGUUUGAGGGCAGACGCCGCCUCAGACAACGCUGAUCCUUGAGAAGCACAGAGCUGCAGAAGCAAUUGUGCUGCUCUUAAAAAAUAAGCUGUCGCUUCUCUUUAUUAGGUAGACAUCCCCAGAGAGUCGUUCCGAAGCUCCGAAAUGCCGUUUUCUCUGCCAUUGGACACUCUCCGAUACUUUGGGGAGCAAUUUCUGUUUUCUGCUGUCAAGCUGUUUGACUGCAUUGAUUUUUUGUAUUGCUUUGGCAACAGGUCACAGGCAGGGCUGAGGUCCUUCUUCCCAGGUGCCUACACACAACAUGUGUGUGUAAUCUUACCUUCCCCAUACGGGAAUUUAAACAGUGAGAGUUUGUGGUAGUGUUUCAGAGCUGCAGACCACGUCUUAACCUGUAGGAUUGCAAUUAAGGUUACUGGGUUGUGUGCUGAAGAUGACCAAGAAACCAGUUUGUCCCAGUGGCUGCCUGGUCUGUGUAUCUGUCUCUGGUUGCUUUGUUGUGAUAGGUGUGGAUUAGAUACCAGGAGCAAAAGUUUCCCAGUGAAUUCCAGCGUAAGCCCUGACUGUGCUGGGAACGGCAGCCCCCCAGCAGGCUGAAGGCCUGUCCAACAAGGGAUGCAAAUCAUGUCUCUGUUUUCUCCCUC